rnacentral:rRNA from 1 species
AGCGAACGCUGGCGGCAGGCUUAACACAUGCAAGUCGAGCGGGCACUUCGGUGUCAGCGGCAGACGGGUGAGUAACACGUGGGACCGUACCCUUCGGUUCGGAAUACCGCUGGGAAACUAGCGCUAAUACCGGAUACGCCCUUUUGGUGACAGGUUUACUGCCGAAGGAUCGGCCCGCGUCUGAUUAGCUAGUUGGUGGGGUAAGGGCCUACCAAGGCGACGAUCAGUAGCUGGUCUGAGAGGAUGAUCAGCCACACUGGGACUGAGACACGGCCCAGACUCAUACGGGAGGCAGCAGUGGGGAAUAUUGGACAAUGGGCGCAAGCCUGAUCCAGCCAUGCCGCGUGAGUGAUGAAGGCCUUAGGGUUGUAAAGCUCUUUUGUCCGGGACGAUAAUGACGGUACCGGAAGAAUAAGCCCCGGCUAACUUCGUG